rnacentral:rRNA from 1 species
CCUACGGGUGGCAGCAGUGGGGGAUAUUGCACAAUGGGGGGAACCCUGAUGCAGCGACGCCGCGUGGGUGAAGAAGCGCCUCGGCGCGUAAAGCCCUGUCAGCCGGGAAGAAAAUGACGGUACCUGAAGAAGAAGCCCCGGCUAACUACGUGCCAGCAGCCGCGGUAAUACGUAGGGGGCAAGCGUUAUCCGGAUUUACUGGGUGUAAAGGGGGAUCAGACGGCGAUGCAAGCCAGGAGUGAAAGCCCGUGGCUCAACCACGGGACUGCUUUGGGAAAUGUGUUGCUGGAGUGCAGGAGGGGUAAGCGGAAUUCCUAGUGUAGCGGUGAAAUGCGUAGAUAUUAGGAGGAACACCAGUGGCGAAGGCGGAUUGCUGGACAGUAACUGACGCUGAGGCGCGAAAGCGUGGGGAGCAAACAGGAUUAGAUACCCCGGUAGUC